AAAAAGUUGUCAUCCUUUCAUCCUUUUUUCUUCUUCCAUCGAAAAUGGCAGCAAGGAGGGGGCUUGGAAAGCUCAAAAUAUCAGCCACUUAUAUUCUUUGCAAGUAAACCCCAACCAUAAUGGGCUUGGAGCUGUGAGGGAAUUCGGAGUGGCCACACGUUCUACAAAUUCCUGUUUUCUUCUGUGUUUUCAGGUUAGCUCGGAGUUGGAGAUCGUCGGAGGCAGCAUCACACUAUCAAGUCACUACCUUUGGAAUAAUGAAGUAUAUAUUAGAAUUUUCAAGUAAGUGGCAUGUAUAGAGAUCUAGUUGAUUGACAUAUAUUAUUUUGCUUUGGCCAAAUGUGUUGGCUUAAAUUGAGUUAUAUGUAUAUGGCCAUGAGAUGUGGCUCAUAUUGAUCUUGUAAGCCUAGCUAUUUAUGUUAUGUCUAAUGUUUAUAAUGUGAUUAUGUUUGUUUGCCA